rnacentral:miRNA from 1 species
CAGCAGCAAUCUGGUCUUUGAG